rnacentral:rRNA from 1 species
GCCAGCUAGGGACGCAGCAGUGAGGAAUAUUGGUCAAUGGGCGAGAGCCUGAACCAGCCAAGUCGCGUGAAGGAUGACGGCCCUACGGGUUGUAAACUUCUUUUGUCAGGGAGCAAUUGAGUCCACGUGUGGGCUUAGCGAGAGUACCUGAAGAAAAAGCAUCGGCUAACUCCGUGCCAGCAGCCGCGGUAAUACGGAGGAUGCGAGCGUUAUCCGGAUUUAUUGGGUUUAAAGGGUGCGUAGGCGGAAUAUCAAGUCAGCGGUAAAAAUUCGGGGCUCAACCCCGCCGUGCCGUUGAAACUGAU